rnacentral:rRNA from 1 species
UACGUAGGGUGCGAGCGUUGUCCGGAAUUAUUGGGCGUAAAGAGCUCGUAGGCGGUUUGUCGCGUCGGCCGUGAAAUCUCCACGCUUAACGUGGAGUGUGCGGUCGAUACGGGCAGACUUGAGUUCGGUAGGGGAGACUGGAAUUCCUGGUGUAGCGGUGAAAUGCGCAGAUAUCAGGAGGAACACCGGUGGCGAAGGCGGGUCUCUGGGCCGAUACUGACGCUGAGGAGCGAAAGCGUGGGGAGCGAACAGG